AUAAUGCUCUCCUCACCCCUACUGUGGGGAGUGGUUAUGUCCCAUGGGACUUAUUUUGACGCCCUCUUGGGUACGCUGUGUAUGUAUGACAGGCUAUGUUCGCUGACAGUAGGCAGAUUCCGGUGCCGGUUAUGUUGUUGUGAGUGGGCCUCAGUAAGCCAUAGCUGGUGAUAUAGGCGUGGGAAUGCAGUGAAUUCAUAGUACGAAAUCUUAGUAGCCUCCUGGUGUUUUGGUUAGACUGGUAAUUCCGGGCGGGGAAUGCCGGCGCUUAAGGGGUUACACGGAUGCGCCCCGCCCAGCUCUCUGGCUCCAGUACACGUUUGGCUCAGAGGGGAUGGGACAGUGAGCCGUGUGGCUGCCCGGGGAGAGAAGUUGGGAGCGCUGCACAAAGGGCACAUGAGCUGGAGGCAGCCUUAGUGUCUUCUCUCUGUGCAGAGACUUGGGCUUCAUAAAGGGCAAUCUGCUCACGAAGACGGUCCACCUCACAGCCUCUCCAUCUCUGCUUUCUGCACUGCACGUUUCAUUACAUUAAUGUCCGAACGCACAUCCCGAUUCAUAUUCUCCAUAUAAAAAAGCCUCAGUGCUAAAUUUUCUACCUCUGUCUGCAUGGAGGAUACUAGAAAAGAGAAGAUUUCAUGUACAUCAAGUGACAAUUCAACAUCUACAGUUGGAAACUGGAUCUGUACUGGUUCCUGCUAAAACUAACCAUAUUGUCAUAGAAAUUUUAGAUGCUCAUCCUCUUUCUGACGGCGUUGGACAGAGACAUGUGAAUGUUUGUCAUGCUGCUUUUCAAGUCCCAUCUGCAGGCGAGCCAGUUCCUGCUGCACCCCAUACAGAAACAUGCCAAGAUCCUCACGCUCUUUCUUAUUAUUCUUCAUGGAUUCAGUCUAAAAAUACACAAAAUAAAUAAUAUAAUAAUUGUAAUAAUUGUAAGAUAACUGUUUCAAGGUCUAUUGAACAGAUGGGUGUUAACUUUGUUACCUCAAUUCCUUGUUCUUUACUUACAUUUCUAAAAGAAACAAUGAGGUGAAGUUCUGCCCUGAAAUGUUUGCAAGCCCCACGCUUGAUGAAGGGCCGAGCACCCGAAACAUUGCAUUUACUAAUAAACCAUGCAGUGGGUUAACUCGCUUGAAAUUGCUCUUUUGUGCUGGUUUGACAUUUUGCUGACCUGAUAGCAAGGUGGCUGAUCCUCUGAACCAAGGACUAGGUGUAUUUUAAAGGAGAGGUAGUGGGUGUGUCGGUGCAACUGCACUUCUAGAAAGACCAUAAGCUAACUAUACAUUAUGAAACUUGGUUUACAGAUAUAGUUUAUAAUUUCAGUCUUUACCUUCUUCUACUCCUUCUAAGCUCCUUUCCUAUCCCCUAGAUUGAGAGAUGAAAUACCCUUAUACCUAAACCCUAAAUUCCACUUAAAAGUUUCAUUACCCUUAUAACUGCUCAAUUAAUUCCACGAGAUUAAUUUAAUAUCCUAGGUCUGCAACUCCCUCAACUAAACUAGAGAAAGUCAGUAACCCCUAUAUCCCCCUCCAACUCCCUAUUGAAAGCCAAUAACCCAUACUGGGAGUAUACUCCACUAGCGAUCCUCAAACCUAUGCUCUCUGCUCUUCUAGCAACAUUCUGUAGCCUCAUUUCUGCACUGUACUUUUCCUCUUAGGGAACAGUAUUCUCAUACUUGCACCCUAGAAAGAUUUAGUAUUCCUCCACCUUCAGACUGCAAUGCAUUCAUACCUGCAACCCCCUAACCCCCUUAGUAAAAUAUUCUCUGCAACCACAACUCCCAAGGCAGUAUUCUCAUACCUGGACACCCUUAACACCUCCUAACUGCACCCCCAACUCCAUUAAAUAUAUUCAAUAUAGAAUGCCAGAGUCCCAUAAAGCCUUCAUUUGAAUUUGUGCAUGAAUUUGUGAAUAUCUCUGCUAUAGAUUCAGUGUUCCCAUGCACGUACCAUUUCACGCAACUCUAGGUCCAGACUCUUGAUCUGUUUUGUUAAAUAGGUCUUGAGAGCCGUCUGGAAUCUUCCCAUCAGAGGCUGUUGAAAAGAAAGUAAACAAUUAAAAUGUUUUCUGAGCCAUAUAUAUUCUCUAUAUAAUAUGUAAUAUCUUUGUUAACCGGUUUUUAUGAUUAUGGGAACAUUAUACUAGGUACAUUUUAACCCAUUAUAUCAUUUUCUUCCUGAUUAAAUUAAGCCUAACUUACAUACACCUGGGAUUAUUCGACUUAAAGGUAAUACUGUAUGAUGGGCAAAUUAAAAACACAGUUUUACACCAUACAAAAAGCCUCUGGCAGACGACUGCCUAUAUUAUAUUUUAAUAGUAUUGCAAGAUGCCUUGCAACACUCAGAGGCAUAUUUUUAAAAUGAAAGUUGGCUCAAUUGCCAGCACACUCAGAGCCCACUUUGUGUAGAAGUGAUAACUUCCAACAAAUGUACUACUGAGAGUAGCACAGCAGCAAAGAAAUCUCUGCCAAUUCUGAUAUUAGGUAACAUACUGCCAGUUUUACUGUCUUCUUUUCAUGUUUAAAGAAUGCAUUGACUACAAAGAACUAUAUAAUUUAGUUAAUAGCGAAAAGCUAGGGCAACUCAUCCAACUGUCUCCUCUUCCCCUACUGGGUCAUCUGAAUCUUGGUUAUUUGCCUCAUCAUCAGUCUCUCCCAUCUGCAUGGCAAACUGAUGAAAAGUGGAAUAGGACGAUGACCCCACCACUCCUGUUUCACCUGGGUAAACAAGGAUGGAAAAGUUCCCAAUGAAGAAUACAAUGGAUACAGGUUGAAGGAUUAUGAGGCUCAUGUGGCUGUAUCUAGCUGCUUUUUUAAUGUGUCUGACCUUUCUUGCUAAAAGUGGAAGUUUACAGUUAAUACAUUCUAAUAAACAAGUUUAUUUGAUUAAAA